UACGUAGGGUCCGAGCGUUGUCCGGAAUCACUGGGCGUAAAGGGUGCGUAGGCGGGUCUUUAAGUCAGGGGUGAAAUCCUGGAGCUCAACUCCAGAACUGCCUUUGAUACUGAGGAUCUUGAGAUCGGGAGAGGAGAGUGGAAUUCCCAGUGUAGAGGUGAAAUUCGUAGAUAUUGGGAAGAACACCGGUGGCGAAGGCGGCUCUCUGGACCGAUACUGACGCUGAGGCGCGAAAGCGUGGGGAGCAAACAGG
rnacentral:rRNA from 1 species